rnacentral:rRNA from 1 species
UACGGAGGGUGCAAGCGUUAUCCGGAUUUACUGGGUUUAAAGGGUGCGCAGGCGGAUAUGUAAGUCAGUGGUGAAAUCUUCCCGCUUAACGGGAAAACUGCCGUUGAUACUAUAUAUCUUGAAUGCCGUGGAGGUAAGCGGAAUAUGUCAUGUAGCGGUGAAAUGCUUAGAGAUGACAUAGAACACCUAUUGCGAAGGCAGCUUACUACACGGAGAUUGACGCUCAUGCACGAAAGCAUGGGGAUCAAACAGG